CUGUCAUUAGUUAGUCCCUCAACAAAAUAACAAUUGAGAAAAUGAUUUUCAUUAAAUAUUAAUGCAGUCUAAGUAUUGUAUUAUUGAGUAAGGAUCAUCCUCGUUAAUAAAGAUGAUGAUGGAGAUAAAUACUUGUAUUCUUUCUUUGGUGGUGGUGGAGAUUUGUAAUAGUAUGGUGGGGGAGGAGAAUGCACUGACGGAGAUGGAGAUGAGUACUUGUAAGGUGGUGGAGGAGAAUGAAGCGCAGGAGGAGGAGACUUAUACUUGUAAACAGGUGGUGGUGGAGAUGGGUACUUGUAUUUCCUCUUUGGUGGUGGUGGAGAUUUGUAAUAAUAUGGUGGGGGAGGAGAAUGCGCAGGUGGUGGUGGUGAGCAAUACUUAUAAGAAGGAGGUGAAUGGACAGAAGGAGGGGGUGACUUGUAUUUGUAAACAGGUGGUGGCGGGGAUGAGUAUUUGUAUGAUUUCUUAGGUGGGGGUGGGGGUGGUGAAUACUUGUAUGGAGGAGGAGAAUGAACUGGUGGCGGUGGUGAGUGAUAGUAGUAUGGUGGAGGAGGAGAAUGAAUUGGUGGAGGUGGAGAUGAAUAGAUGGAGUUGUUAGCUGAUAUUUGAGAUGGCAAGCUUUGAGAGAUUAUUGCUAAUACAAGAGUGAGUGUAGUGGA
rnacentral:lncRNA from 1 species